UAGGGAAUCUUCCGCAAUGGGCGAAAGCCUGACGGAGCAACGCCGCGUGAGUGAUGAAGGUCUUAGGAUCGUAAAACUCUGUUAUUAGGGAAGAACAAACGUGUAAGUAACUGUGCACGUCUUGACGGUACCUAAUCAGAAAGCAACGGCUAACUACGUGCCAGCAGCCGCGGUAAUACGUAGGUGGCAAGCGUUAUCCGGAAUUAUUGGGCGUAAAGCGCGCGUAGGCGGUUUUUUAAGUCUGAUGUGAAAGCCCACGGCUCAACCGUGGAGGGUCAUUGGAAACUGGAAAACUUGAGUGCAGAAGAGGAAAGUGGAAUUCCAUGUGUAGCGGUGAAAUGCGCAGAGAUAUGGAGGAACACCAGUGGCGAAGGCGACUUUCUGGUCUGUAACUGACGCUGAUGUGCGAAAGCGUGGGGAUCAAACA
rnacentral:rRNA from 1 species